CUACGGGUUGCUGCAGUGGGGAAUAUUGCACAAUGGGCGCAAGCCUGAUGCAGCCAUGCCGCGUGUAUGAAGAAGGCCUUCGGGUUGUAAAGUACUUUCAGCGGGGAGGAAGGGAGUAAAGUUAAUACCUUUGCUCAUUGACGUUACCCGCAGAAGAAGCACCGGCUAAGUCCGUGGCCAGCAGCCGCGGUAAUACGGAGGGUGCAAGCGUUAAUCGGAAUUACUGGGCGUAAAGCGCACGCAGGCGGUUUGUUAAGUCAGAUGUGAAAUCCCCGGGCUCAACCUGGGAACUGCAUCUGAUACUGGCAAGCUUGAGUCUCGUAGAGGGGGGUAGAAUUCCAGGUGUAGCGGUGAAAUGCGUAGAGAUCUGGAGGAAUACCGGUGGCGAAGGCGGCCCCCUGGACGAAGACUGACGCUCAGGUGCGAAAGCGUGGGGAGCAAACAGGAUUAGAUACCCCUGUAGUC
rnacentral:rRNA from 1 species